UGUGUGCACUCUGUCUUGUAAACACCCAGGGUGAACCUCUGCCUCAGCGCUGGAGCCCUCCUCUCCGGGCCCCGCCACCGCGGAGGGGCCGGCAACGUGGAGCAGGUACAGAAGAAGAAGUAGAAGGAGAAGGAGGAGAGGCUUCGGCGGAGAGCAGUCGACUGAACAGACUCCCAUGGCCGCACCACGCUGUGGGAAUCAUUGAUCCCUUACGACGCUGCAGGACCCUCCAUCCCCUGACGCUCACAGAGUGGUCGCGGAGGAAAUGCUCCGGCUGGAAGUGAGGAUGAUUUGUCAUGUGAAAGGCGAGACGCUGGCACCAAGCGAUGACGCAAAGAAAGAGCUGCUUCAUUGAUUGAUACAGUCGGGGGGGUUUCCAGCACCAUUAUGCAAGGGUGCCGAUGAGUCACCUGAUCAGGACGCCGAGCCCCUGCCCUCCUGCGCAUGGGAGCAGUUCCUCUUCCUCAUCUCUUCCUCACCUCCUCCUUCCCCUCCGCCCGCAGUAAUUCACAACCCGCCAACACAAUUCAUCCCUGGCCCAGAGAGAGAGAGAGAGAGAGAGAGAGAGAGAGAGAGAGAGAGAGAG